rnacentral:lncRNA from 10 species
AAGCUUGCGCCCUGAGGCGGUUUCCGUUCCCGGACGUUUGGACUCUGUCCUGGAGAAGGGGAAGGAAAAAGUAAGACGUAGAAGUACACUGAGACUUCGUCACACAUAAAACAAGCACGACAAAGAAAGAGGGCGCGAAGGGACUCCUGGAAGAAAUUGAGUCUACAUUUAAGAUCACCCUAAAAGUAGUGACGGCCUCUUCAUUACUCCAAACCCCAGAUUUAAGUCGGUAGGACGUCUUCGCGUUGACUUGUGGGGAAUGUAGUUUCGAUGCUGCCGGCGCGUUUUGUUUGCGACAGAAACUACAACCCCCAGGGGCCACCGCGACGUUGCCUGUGGGUGCCCGCGAACCAACGGUUAGCGGUGGCAGGGGCUGACUGAGAGCGUCUGCUUGACAGAGUCUUUCUCUGUCACCCAGGCUGGAGUACAGUGGCACGAUCUCGGCUCCCUGCAACGUCCGCCUCCCGAGUUCAAGUGAUUCUCCUGCCUCAGCCACCCGAGUAGCUGGGUCUACAGGUGUGCGCCACCAUGCCUGGCUAAUUUUUGUAUUUUUAAGAGAGACGGGGUUUCACCAUGCUGGCCAGGCUGGUCUCGAACUCCUGACCUCGUGAUCCGCCUGCCUCAGCCCCUCAAAGUGCUAGGAUUAGAGAUAAUGGAUUCUGAAUUAAUGCAUAGUAUAGUAGGAAGCUAUCAUAAACCUCCAGAAAGAGUAUUUGUUCCCUCAUUCACCCAGAAUGAACCAUCUCAGAAUUGCCAUCCUGCAAACUUAGAAGUUACCUCUCCUAAGAUACUUCAUAGCCCAAAUAGCCAAG